rnacentral:misc_RNA from 1 species
AGAGUUAAAUAGUACGUGAAAUUGUUGAAAGGGAAACGAUUAAAGUCAGUCAUGCCGGUGGGAAUCAACUUAGGGAAAACUCUGAGUGCACUUCUUCGCUUGGCAGGUCAAUGUCGAUUUUGGAUAUCAUAAAAUGAUUGGGGGAAGGUAACUCUUUCGGGAGUAUUAUAGCCCUUGGUAGAUGUGAUGUCUGGGAUCGAGGAUUGCAACGGAUACCCUUCAGGCUAGCCGCCUGAUCUCUAAUCGGUGUUGGGUUACGGAUAGCAUGCUGAUCGUGAUUUAAUUACUGGUUAAAAGGUUAGAGCGUGCAUAAAUUCGUUAAGGACAUUGACGUAAUGGCUUUAAACGA